rnacentral:rRNA from 1 species
GACAGAGGUCCCGAGCGUUAGACGGAAUCACUGGGCUUAAAGCGUGUGUAGGCGGAAGGGUAAGUACCUUGUGAAAUCCCUCGGCUUAACCGGGGAACUGCGUCUGAUACUGGAUGGCUUGAGUUUGGGAGAGGGAUGCGGAAUUCCAGGUGUAGCGGUGAAAUGCGUAGAUAUCUGGAGGAACACCGGUGGCGAAGGCGGCAUCCUGGACCAACACUGACGCUGAGUGAGCGAAAGCCAGGGGAGCAAACGGG